rnacentral:rRNA from 1 species
UACGGAGGGUGCAAGCGUUAUCCGGAUUCACUGGGUUUAAAGGGUGCGUAGGUGGGCAGGUAAGUCAGUGGUGAAAUUCUUUGGGCUUAACCCGAAAACUGCCAUUGGAUACUAUUUGUCUUGAAUAUUGUGGAGGUCAGCGGAAUAUGUCAUGUAGCGGUGAAAUGCUUAGAUAUGACAUAGAACACCAAUUGCGAAGGCAGCUGGCUACGCAAAUAUUGACACUGAUGCACGAAAGCGAUGGGGGAUCAA